GGGACCUUGGCGCAGUUGGUCAGCGCAUCUGUCUCAUACCGUAGGUAUGAUCUAGUUAAACACCAGGGUAAUCAGGAGGUCGUGAGUUCGAGCCUCACAGGUCCCA